rnacentral:lncRNA from 1 species
GUUGGAGAAGACUGGCUCUGUGCAGCUAGAACUGACUCCAUCAUGGCAAUCAGGCGGGCGAUCUCGUGCUUUAGUUCUCUAUUCUCUUGCUCAAGAUGUUCCAUGAUUCUGGAGUCAUUGGCAUGAGUGUUGUACCGAUGAGUCAGCUUGGCUAAAGCACAGAAGAAACACCAAUGAGACAUCUGGCGAAAGAGAAACCUGCUUAUGCAAAUGAUGCAUGAAAUGC